CCAAAACAAAUAAUCAUAAAAAAAUUAUAAUAAAAAGACAGAAUACAACUUAUAAUCAGAAUCAAGAAAUAAUCAAAUCCAAAAUCCUAGACAAAAACUCAUGAGGAAGAAUCAGAAAAGAAUAAAAAAUCAGAAAAAGAAUCAGAGUAAAUAAGCAAAAAAUCAUAACGAAAAAACAAAUAAAACAUUAGCAAAGUUUCCAGAUGCAGGGAAGGAUGACAGAGACGCUAGACGGUGAGACGAUGGAGAUGACGGGGCUAGAAACGGAGAUACGAUGGUGCUUCAGUGGCUGCGAGGGAGAUGGCUAUGUCAUUGCUUUAAUGAGGGAGAUGAAUGGGCGGACGAACAACACGGCUUCAACGAGGGAGACGAAUGGGCGGACAAACAACACGGCUUCAAUGGCAACAAACCAAAAACCAGAGACGAAGGCCCAGAUGGCUGGAGCAUGACAACGCUACGAUUGUCGGAGACGGAAGGUGCGGGAAAAGGGGCUCGCUCAGUCGCUCAAAUUCUCAGGUUCUGACAAUGAAAUCGACAGCGCUGAGCGAUGCAGAGAGACUGAGAAUGACGGCGCUAAGAGACUGAUAACGAUGGUGGUUGCUGGACGACGACGGCAAAGAGGAGUAGAUGUGUGGGUCUGGGACUCAGAGAAGAGAGUGUAGCGUCAAUGAGCAUGAGUGAGGCAGUGUGUGGCGAGAGAGAGAGAGAGAAAGAGAGAGAGAGAGAGAGAGAGAGCAGUGGUAUAUUAGGAUUAGGGUAAGU
rnacentral:lncRNA from 1 species